rnacentral:rRNA from 1 species
UAUUGGACAAUGGGCGAAAGCCUGAUCCAGCAAUGCCGCGUGAGUGAUGAAGGCCCUAGGGUUGUAAAGCUCUUUUAACCGGGAAGAUAAUGACUGUACCGGGAGAAUAAGCCCCGGCUAACUCCGUGCCAGCAGCCGCGGUAAUACGGAGGGGGCUAGCGUUGUUCGGAAUUACUGGGCGUAAAGCGCACGUAGGCGGCUGUCCAAGUCAGAGGUGAAAGCCCGGGGCUCAACUCCGGAAUUGCCUUUGAAACUAGAUGGCUUGAACGUCGGAGAGGUGAGUGGAAUUCCGAGUGUAGAGGUGAAAUUCGUAGAUAUUCGGAAGAACACCAGUGGCGAAGGCGGCUCACUGGACGACUGUUGACGCUGAGGUGCGAAAGCGUGGGGAGCAAACAGG